GAUGAACGCUGGCGGCGUGCCUAAUACAUGCAAGUCGAGCGAACAGACGAGGAGCUUGCUCCCCUGCCGUUAGCGGCGGACGGGUGAGUAACACGUGGAUAACCUACCUAUAAGACUGGGAUAACUUCGGGAAACCGGUGCCAAUACCGGAUCAUAUAUUGAACCGCAUGGUUCAAUAGUGAAAGACGGUUUUGCUGUCACUUAUAGAUGAAUCCGCGCCGCAUUAGCUAGUUGGUAAGGUCACGGCUUACCAAGGCAACGAUGCGUAGCCGACCUGAGAGGGUGAUCGGCCACACUGGAACUGAGACACGGUCCAGACUCCUACGGGAGGCAGCAGUGGGGAAUCUUGCACAAUGGGCGGAAGCCUGACGGAGCAACACCGCGUGAGUGAUGAAGGUCUUCGGAUCGUAAAACUCUGUUGUUGGGGAAGAACAAAUGUGUAAGUAACUAUGCACGUCUUGACGGUACCUAAUCAGAAAGCCACGGCUAACUACGUG
rnacentral:rRNA from 1 species